GACGAACCGUGCGAACGUUGUUCGGAAUCACUGGGCUUAAAGGGCGCGUAGGCGGGCGGUCCAGUCUGUGGUGAAAUCCUUCGGCUCAACCGGAGAAUAGCUGGAGAUACUGGCCGUCUCGAGGGGGGUAGGGGCAUGUGGAACCUCCGGUGGAGCGGUGAAAUGCGUAGAUAUCGGAAGGAACGCCGGUGGCGAAAGCGAUGUGCUGGACCCUUUCUGACGCUGAGGCGCGAAAGCCAGGGGAGCAAACGGG
rnacentral:rRNA from 1 species